rnacentral:lncRNA from 1 species
ACAUAAAGCAGGAAUCCACUAAUAAAAGCAUAAGGUAAUACAAAGAAAAUCCCAAAUACAAGUGCUAAAAGUAGAUACAUAGGUGGUCUCUAUACAUGGAUACAAAAUCUCUCGCUCUCUCUCAACUACAAAAAGAAAGAGUAAACCACCUAGGCAAAGAACCGCUCCUCGCUAGCUAGCUAAGCGAUCCCCUUGCCGCGAUCCCGUGCCUCCGCCGGUGCCGAAGGCUCUGAAAAGUAAACCAUAAAACAGGGGCGUGAGAACUAUUAAAAAUAGUUCCCAGUGGGCAAUUACUGACUUCAGUGAAUGCACCACAAGGCCCAAAG